UACGUAGGGGGCAAGCGUUAUCCGGAAUUACUGGGUGUAAAGGGUGAGUAGGCGGCAUGGUAAGCCAGAUGUGAAAGCCUUGGCUUAACCCGAGGAUUGCAUUUGGAACUAUCAAGCUAGAGUACAGGAGAGGAAGGCGGAAUUCCUAGUGUAGCGGUGAAAUGCGUAGAUAUUAGGAAGAACACCAGUGGCGAAGGCGGCUUUCUGGACUGAAACUGACGCUGAGGCACGAAAGCGUGGGGAGCGAACAGG
rnacentral:rRNA from 1 species